rnacentral:rRNA from 1 species
CCGGUUGAUCCCGCCGGAGGCUACCGCUAUUGGAGUUCGAUUAAGCCAUGCGAGUCGAGAGUCCUCGGGACUCGGCGUACCGCUCAGUAACACGUGGGUAACCUGCCCUAUGCUAGGGAAUAACCUCGGGAAACUGAGAAUAAUGCCCCAUAGCCCACUACGCCUGGAACGGUGAGUGGGUCAAAGCCCCGGCGGCAUAGGAUGGGCCUGCACCGUAUCAGGUUGUAGGGGGUGUAAAGUACCCUCUAGCCAUCAACGCGUACGGGUGUUGGGAGACAUUGCCCGGAGAUGGAUUCUGAGACACGAAUCCAGACCCUACGGGGUGCAGCAGGCGCGAAAACUUGGCAAUGCGAGCAAUCGUGACCAGGGAACUCCAAGUGCGUAGGGUAAGACCUACGCUUUUCUUGACUCUUCAAAGGUCUUGGAAUAAGGGGUGGGUAAGGACGGUGCCAGCCGCCGCGGUAAUACCGGCGCCUCAAGUGGUAGUCGCUUUUAUUGGGCCUAAAACGUCCGUAGCCGGUCUGGUGCAUUCGUGGGUAAAUCAACCCGCUCAACGGGUUGAAUUCUGCGAGCACGGCCAGACUUGGGACCGGGAGAGGUGUGGGGUACUCUCAGGGUAGGGGUAAAAUCC